AUUGAACGCUAGCGGGGUGCCUAACACAUGCAAGUCGAACGAGGGGAGGACGGGUGAGUAAUAUAUCGGAACGUCCCCUGUAGCGGGGGAUAACUCCUUGAAAGGGUGGCUAAUACCGCAUACUUUUGGAGCGGCCGAUAUCGGAUUAGCUAGUUGGUGGGGUAAAGGCUAACCAAGGCCACGAUCCGUAGCUGGUUUGAGAGGAUGAACGGCAACACUGGGACUGAGACACGGCCCAGACUCCUACGGGAGGCAGCAGUGGGGAAUUUUGGACAAUGGGGGAAAGCCUGACGGAGCCACACCGCGUGUGUGAGAAGGCCUUCGGGUCGUAAAGUACUUUUGUCAGAGAAGCGGUACCUGCAGAGUAAGCACCGGCUAACUACGUGCCAGCCGCCGCGGUAAUAC
rnacentral:rRNA from 1 species